UACGAAGGGGACUAGCGUUGUUCGGAAUUACUGGGCGUAAAGCGCACGUAGGCGGAUUUGUUAGUCAGGGGUGAAAUCCCGGGGGCUCAACCUCGGAACUGCCUUUGAUACUGCAAGUCUCGAGUCCGAUAGAGGUGGGGUGGAAUUCCUAGUGUAGAGGUGAAAUUCGUAGAUAUUAGGAAGAACACCGGUGGCGAAGGCGGCCCACUGGAUCGGUACUGACGCUGAGGUGCGAAAGCGUGGGGAGCAAACAGG
rnacentral:rRNA from 1 species